rnacentral:rRNA from 1 species
AGAGCGAACGCUGGCGGCAGGCUUAACACAUGCAAGUCGAGCGGGCGUAGCAAUACGUCAGCGGCAGACGGGUGAGUAACGCGUGGGAACGUACCUUUUGGUUCGGAACAACUGAGGGAAACUUCAGCUAAUACCGAAUAAGCCCUUACGGGGAAAGAUUUAUCGCCGAAAGAUCGGCCCGCGUCUGAUUAGCUUGUUGGUGAGGUAAUGGCUCACCAAGGCGACGAUCAGUAGCUGGUCUGAGAGGAUGAUCAGCCACAUUGGGACUGAGACACGGCCCAAAACUCCUACGGGAGGCAGCAGUGGGGAAUAUUGGACAAUGGGCGCAAGCCUGAUCCAGCCAUGCCGCGUGAGUGAUGAAGGCCCUAGGGUUGUAAAAGCUCUUUUGUGCGGGAAGAUAAUGACGGUACCGCAAGAAUAAAGCCCCGGCUAACUUCGCGCUAGCAGCCGC